GCAUUGGUGGUUCAGAGGUAGAAUUCCACUUCCCAUGUGGGAGACCUGGGUUUGAUUCCCUGCCAGUGCG
rnacentral:tRNA from 1 species